GCAUCAUUCUUCUCGGAGCCGGAGUGUAAUUGAAGUCGCGUGUUUGCAUUAGUUUUUUGAAUUGCUGUUGGGGCUGGGGCUGCGUGAUCGUCACUGGCGUCCUCCAGAGUGCCCACCGAUCGGAAAGUCGUACGAACCGCAAGCUUUGAACGUCUGUUUAUCGCAACAUCGAAAGCGGCGGCACAGAAGACGCGAUGUGAGCUCCGGUGGGAACAGCAGCCCUUUGUCUCGUAACGGUCCCUGACACCGCCUCUCCGACUUCUAAGAGCACACGGGUUUUUCCGGAAUCUUCCAAAAGAUGCUAGAACUUUUCUGAAGACCCCCCGUGGGGCUGUCGAGGAUGUUGCUAUCUCUACAAUAGCCGGAGAAGAUGAAACAAGUUUUGCAAUGCACACGGACUGGCUCAGUUGUGAAUGUCACAAAUGCUCCCCUAACGAGGAUCAAAAGAUUGAAAGGAUGGCCUUGAUAAAUAAUAUUCAUGAGGCGAAGAGGAAGUACCCAUACAUGAUGAGCUUUGAGAGGUGACUUUGCAAGACUGACUAAGAUUGACCCAUCACCUUGUAUUGCAAAAUGGAUCAACAAAAUUGUGAAAAUGGCAGAUAUGAAACACAUCCCUUGCGAAGCAAGUGUAAUGGCAUCACUUCAAAAGGCUCGUGAGAUGUCACCGGAGAGGCUGCGAACACGACGUGAGUACUGUUACAAAGGCUUCAUCGGCAGCUUUUAGACCUACACUCCGUGACAUUAUUUUUGCAGGGUUUCGUCUCAUAGGCAUAACAUUAGAGUACAUCUGUGUUCAAUUAUUUGGUUCUUUUAAGACAGUUCUUCAGGUUUUCAACUCAUAUCUUCUCUAAAACUUAAAUUCUUUAAUGGUAGGUUGUUUGAUCUGUGGAAUGGAAAUAAACUGGCGUAGUGUUGCACAGUUACAUGCGUAGAUCAAGAAUAUUCUGUGCCAUGGCAGGCACAGAAUAUUCUUGACGGGAAAGGUCUUCAAGGUGCAGUCGACAUAAAUAAGGGGAUGUUACCCUAGCACCAGUGUUCAUUUGCUUUUAGUGACAGAAAAUCACAGCGUUAAUAGUUUUCAAAACCAACCUUUGUCACAGAUUUAGGGAACUUUAGGAAG